UCGAAGCAGCAUAUUGUCAGGGAAAAAGGUUAUGGGGAAUACACUAACCCCAUUCCAUAGUUUCUCAUGGCUGCUUAAUUAUACAUGCAUACAGAAAAACCUUGAACAAUCCAGCCAACAUGACAUCAGUUUCUACUUUCUAAGGACACUAUGAAUACUUCUGCUCGAUUGAGUUUAAAUUCUAAGACAAUCAGAACAAGAAAACUUGUAGAGAUGAGGAUGGAUUCAGCCAAAUCUAGUUUCUAUCUUUUAGCUAGAAAGUAUUAGCUACCAUCAUUUUUUGCCAGAAUUAGUCUAACUAGAAAGUGACUAUGCAAAUCAACAAAAUAAACUAAAAAUUUAGGAAUUUGUUGCUUACUUGGACAACAAAAAAGUAGAGGUCAUUCAGUUGAAACAAAAGAUGUCGCAGGUUGAACAUGUGACUGUUGAGCAGCGAAGAGUUCCUUCAUUUUCAUUAUUUCUUUCAUCUCAUUUUCUAAGGUAGACAAUCGAUCGUUCAAGGAUUUGAUUUCAUCUCAUUUUCAAAGGUAGACAAUCGAUCGUUCAAGGAUUUGUUUUCCU
rnacentral:lncRNA from 1 species